UACAGAGGGGGCAAGCGUUAUUCGGAAUUAUUGGGCGUAAAGGGCGCGUAGGCGGCCUGGCAAGUGGAUGGUGAAAUCCCUCGGCUUAACCGAAGAACUGCCAUCCAGACUGCUUGGCUUGAGACCGGGAGAGGUGAGUGGAAUUCCCAGUGUAGCGGUGAAAUGCGUAGAUAUUGGGAAGAACACCGGUGGCGAAGGCGGCUCUCUGGACCGAUACUGACGCUGAGGCGCGAAAGCGUGGGGAGCAAACAGGG
rnacentral:rRNA from 1 species